rnacentral:misc_RNA from 1 species
GCAAACUUGGUCAUUUAGAGGAAGUACAAGUCGUAACAAGGUAUCCGUAGGUGAACCUGCGGAUGGAUCAUUACCAAAGGAACACACACAACUUCCUACGUACUGUGAACUGUUUUGACUGACAGUCAGCAGCUGUUGCCCUACUGCCCUGCUGUAGAGGGGCGGCGUUGCUGACUGUACCCACUACUGAACGUGUAUACUGUAGCUUCUAGACUGACUGAACUGCUUUAGUAUGUUGAACUAAAGACAACUUUUAGCAAUGGAUCUCUUGGUUCUCGCAUCGAUGAAGAACGCAGC